AUUUAAAGCGAUGCUAUAUGUCACGUCAAUACUGCUUCCAGUGUAUUAGUCAAACUUACAGUAUACAACAGAAGUGAGUACACCAAUGUAGCAUCACUAUAAAUCACAUGAUACAACA